rnacentral:lncRNA from 1 species
AAAACCUAUAUUUCUUAUAAUAAAAUAUUGACUAUGGUGAUUACUUUUAUAAUAGCUUUGUUUAUACUGCUAUAUAUAAUUUGGUAUUGGGUAGAUAAUAGAUUGGGUGACCUCGGUGUAAACCCACAUCCAACGGGUACAGGACGUACAGUGAAGAACACACAUCCUAUUAGCUGUCGGAUAUUAUUCUUAUAUAUAAACAUGGUGUAUAAACUAAUAUAUUAUAGAGUUAACUCACUUAAAGUCUUUAAAACUGUACUGGCUUAAUAAAAAUGGAUUAAGCCCUUAACUGGGAAAUCACUAGUUUUGUAUAUCCAAAAGUACUGACUUUGAAACGAAUGUUUUGUACUAGAAAAACUGUGCAUUGACUCUGUGUCCUGUGACCUGAUCAACACCUGGUACCCUUAUGAUGACUUAAUGUAUACUAAGCAUAAAUAUAUAUAGAUUUGGGUAGAUAAUAGAUUGGGUGACCUCGGUGUAAACCCACAUCCAACGGGAACAGGACGUACAGCGAAGAACAUACAUCCUAUUAGCUGUCGGAAUCUACUUAACAUAUAUGUAUCCUAUAGUGUAUACAUUACGGAAUCAUAAGGUUAGCAUCAUGGUCCUAACUCUUAAAAGUAGCCUUUUACCAAGUUUCGACUGUUUUGAAAGAAGUCUUCUACCAAGACUCUACUGUUAUGAAAGCAGUCUUCUACCAAGACUCUACAGUUAUUGUCAACUAUAAAGUACAUUCUCCCUAUUUUAUAACCUAUCUCGAAUAGAGAAUAGAUUAACCUUCAAGUGUUACCGACACUUUAUGAAAGUAAUGGGAGAAAUGAGUACCCUGAUGUCAUUUAUAAUGACAUAUGGAGGUACUAUCAACCUAAAAACAUAAGUGUGUUUUAUUACGGUCAUAAUGUGACAGCUAGAACCCCUACUAACCCGCUCUCAUGUAUGAAGAUUGAGGGAACCAAACGCGACCCGAGCAAAUCCAUGCAAGCCGUGUAAUUCACAUUAAAGUUAGAUCCUGUGUACGUGUUAUCAUGCUAUAGCAAAUUAACUUUUUAGUUAUGUUCUGUUAUGUUAUGUUCUGUUCUGUUAUUGACUCUUUGUAUGCUUCAUUGUACUAGAAGUAAUGAAUAGCAUUCUCCUAAACUAUACCUAUAAUAGUUUACUAAUGCU